GUUAAGCUGAUAAGUGCAUGGGGCGGAUGCCUUGGCACUGGGAGCCGAAGAAGGACGUGAUAAGCUGCGAAAAGCUGCGGUGAGGAGCAAACAUCUUAUGACCCGCAGAUAUCCGAAUGGGGAAACCCGGCAGUGCAGACCACUGUCAUCCAUACGCCAAUACAUAACGUAUGGAAGGGAACCCGGGGGACUGAAACAUCUAAGUACCCGGAGGAAGAGAAAGAAAAUCGAUUUCCUUAGUAGCGGCGAGCGAAAGGGAAAGAGCCCAAACCUGAAUGCUUGCAUUCAGGGGUUAGGACUGCAUAAUCGACUGCUGACGGAAGGAGAACGGCAUGGGAAGGCCGUCCAGAGAGCGUGAGAGACGCGUAUCCGAAUCCGAAGGCAGCGAGGCAGUAUCCAGAGUACCACGAGACACGAGAAACCUUGUGGGAAAGAGCGGGGACCACCCCGUAGGAAAGGCUAAAUACUACCCAGUGACCGAUAGCGCAUAGUACCGUGAGGGAAAGGUGAAAAGGACCCCGGGAGGGGAGUGAAAGAGAACCUGAAACCCUGUGUAUACAAGCUGUGGGAGGACGUUAAAGUCCGACCGCGUACUUUUUGUAGAACGGUCCGGCGAGUCACGUUUACCGGUGUGGUUAAGUACUUAAGGUACGGAGCCGAAGUGAGAGCAAGCAUGAAGAGUGCAUGUAAUCAGUAAACGUGGACCCGAAACCGGGUGAUCUACCCAUGUCCAGGCUGAAGCUGCCGUAAGAGGUAGUGGAGGGCCGAACGCACAUCCGUUGAAAAGGGUGGCGAUGAGGUGUGGGUAGGGGAGAAAUUCCAAUCGAACCCGGAGAUAGCUGGUUCUCCUCGAAAUAGCUUUAGGGCUAGCCCUGUGACAGUCACACGCAGGUAGAGCACUGAAUUUCCUAGGGGGCGUCAAAGCCUACCGAAGAAUAUCAAACUGCGAAUGGCGUGGUGAUGAUUCACAGGAGUCAGACUGCACGAGAUAAGUUGGGUGGUCAAAAGGGAAAGAGCCCAGACCCACUGCUAAGGUCCCAAAGUGCGUGUUAAGUGGAAAAGGAUGUGGGAUUUCAAAGACAGCUAGGAUGUUGGCUUAGAAGCAGCCACGCAUUCAAAGAGUGCGUAAUAGCUCACUAGCCGAGAGGUCCCGCGCCGAAAAUGUCCGGGGCUGAAACACGACACCGAAGCAUGGGAAUCAUACACAAGUAUGGUUGGUAGAGGAGCAUUGAUGACGCGGCGAAGCGGUACCGGCAAGGAGCCGUGGAGUGUCAUGAAGAGAGAAUGCCGGAAUGAGUAGCGAGAUUAAAGUGAGAAUCUUUAAGGCCGAAUAUCCAAGGUUUCCGGGGUAAAGCUGAUCUGCCCCGGGUAAGUCGGGGCCUAAGGCGAGGCGGAGACGCGUAGCCGAUGGACAACAGGUUGAGAUUCCUGUACUGCAAUGGAUCAGAACUGUGGGGACACGGGAGGUAAAGGAAAGCCGGGAAAGGAAAGCCCGGUGAAAGCCGAGGAGGCGUAUGCGAGGCAAAACCCGCAUGCAAGCCAGAGCGGUGAGAGGAGCGAAACAAAAGUAGCGAAGUUCCGGAGCCUGCCGUCAAGAAAAGCCGCUAUAGUGUCCAUUGUACCCGUACCGUAAACCGACACAGGUAGAUGAGGAGAGAAUCCUAAGGCCGGCGGGAGAAGCAUUGUCAAGGAACUCGGCAAAAUGACCCCGUAACUUCGGGAGAAGGGGUGCCACAGCAAUGUGGCCGCAGAGAAUAGGCCCAAGCAACUGUUUAGCAAAAACACAGGUCUAUGCAAAACCGAAAGGUGAAGUAUAUGGGCUGACGCCUGCCCGGUGCUGGAAGGUUAAGGGGAGAUGUCAGGAAACGAAGCAUCGAACUUAAGCCCCAGUAAACGGCGGCCGUAACUAUAACGGUCCUAAGGUAGCGAAAUUCCUUGUCGGGUAAGUUCCGACCCGCACGAAAGGCGUAAUGAUUUGGGCGCUGUCUCGACAAUGCACCCGGUGAAAUUGAAGUGCCAGUGAAGAUGCUGGCUACCCGCGCCAGGACGGAAAGACCCCAUGGAGCUUUACUCUAGUUUGGCACUGGGAUCUGGCAUUGCACGUACAGGAUAGGUGGGAGGCUGAGAAAUGAUGACGCCAGUUGUCAUGGAGCCGGCGUUGGGAUACCACCCCUGCAUUGCUAGGUUUCUAACCAGCCGCCGUGAUCCGGCGGUGGGACAAUGCCAGGCGGGGAGUUUGACUGGGGCGGUCGCCUCCGAAAGGGUAUCGGAGGCGCUCAAAGGUUCACUCAGAAUGGACGGAAACCAUUCGCAGAGCGCAAAGGCAGAAGUGAGCUUGACUGUGACACCGACGGGUGGAACAGGUACGAAAGUAGGACUUAGUGAUCCGGUGGCAUAAAGUGGGAUUGCCAUCGCUCAACGGAUAAAAGCUACCCUGGGGAUAACAGGCUUAUCACUCCCAAGAGUUCACAUCGACGGAGUGGUUUGGCACCUCGAUGUCGGCUCAUCGCAUCCUGGGGCUGGAGUAGGUCCCAAGGGUUGGGCUGUUCGCCCAUUAAAGCGGUACGCGAGCUGGGUUCAGAACGUCGUGAGACAGUUCGGUCCCUAUCCGGCGCGGGCGCAGGAUAUCUGAGAGGAGCCGUCCUUAGUACGAGAGGACCGGGACGGACUGACCUCUGGUGUACCGGCUGGCAUGCCAAUGCCACGGCCGGGUAGCCAAGUCGGGCAGGGAUAAACGCUGAAGGCAUCUAAGCGUGAAGCCCCCCUCAAGAUGGGAUAUCCCACUGAGUAAUCAGGUAAGACCCCUUGAAGACGACAAGGUUGAUAGGCUGGAGAUGUAAGUACAGCAAUGUAUUCAGUUGACCAGUACUAAUAGGUCGAGGGCUUAA
rnacentral:rRNA from 1 species